AGUGAACGCUGGCGGUAGGCCUAACACAUGCAAGUCGAACGGCAGCACAGUAAGAGCUUGCUCUUACGGGUGGCGAGUGGCGGACGGGUGAGGAAUACAUCGGAAUCUACUUUUUCGUGGGGGAUAACGUAGGGAAACUUACGCUAAUGCCGCAUACGACCUACGGGUGAAAGCAGGGGAUCUUCGGACCUUGCGCGAUUGAAUGAGCCGAUGUCGGAUUAGCUAGCUGGCGGGGUAAAGGCCCACCAAGGCGACGAUCCGUAGCUGGUCUGAGAGGCUGAUCAGCCACACUGGAACUGAGACACGGUCCAGACUCCUACGGGAGGCAGCAGUGGGGAAUAUUGGACAAUGGGCGCAAGCCUGAUCCAGCCAUACCGCGUGGGUGAAGAAGGCCUUCGGGUUGUAAAGCCCUUUUGUUGGGAAAGAAAAGCAGCAGGUUAAUACCCCGCUGUUCUGACGGUACCCAAAGAAUAAGCACCGGCUAACUUCGUG
rnacentral:rRNA from 1 species